UUUUGAAAUGCUUUGUAGACCGGUAAGAUUUUAAUUCCUGAUAAGCUUUAUUUCAGUGACAUAAUUAAUUGUAAAAUAGAUUUAAGAUAUUCUCCAAUUCUCUUGCCCGUUAUAUCAUGGAUUUGUUACUUUAAAUCUAAUACCUUCAUCCUAUGUCAGCCCUAGCUGAUUUCAGGACUUCAGAUUGUGGAUAGGCAUUAUUAAUAGUAAGGCUGUAUGCUUCAAAUACAGUAAUAAUUGUAAUUCCUUUUUCCUGUUAUCACACUGUAUAAUCUCUUAUUUGGCAGAUGGUACCUGAAGGUGCGCUACAAUACUGCUACAAUACAUUAUGAGAGAGCGAGUAUCAAGAUGCACCAGAAUUAUGCAGGAGCACCAGGACUUUUCUUCAUUUCCAGAAAUGAUCCUGUGUCAACACCUGAAAUGGUCAGCAAUGUGUACAGUAAAUGGGAAGAAAAUGGCCAUGAGGUAUUUGUGAAGUGCUGGGAUAAGUCAAGACAUGUCAGCCAUUACCGACUGUAUCAGAAGGAAUAUGAAGAUCAUGUGAUUGCAUUCCUUGAGAGGAUUAGGCUUCUUGAGUCUGCAAGACAUAGGGCUUCAAUGUAAUUAGAGGAGUGUUCUGAGAAACUUUUAUGAGUUUGUUGAAGAUUAUAUAAGAUAUACAUAUAGAUAUUUUAUGAAGUUGUGACAUAGUAUUAUUUCUUGCUAGCUCUUUCAAACCUUUAGCAACAUCUUUAAGUCACCUAGGUUUGUAUCCAUUAGGUUUGGUAAAGAAAUACAAGGGGCCAUUUUGAUGAUUCAUAAUUAGUAUCUACUGUACAUGUACUUUUCUGUCACAGAUUUCUGUGCAUUAUCAUUGUCAUGAAUCUUCCAUAGGAAACUCACCUUCUUCAGUUUAGACUUUUGAUACGUAUGAUCCAUGGAUCUGUUCUGUAAUGUUUUGUUAGUAAAUAUUAUUCCUUCA